rnacentral:rRNA from 1 species
GUGGGGAAUCUUCCACAAUGGACGAAAGUCUGAUGGAGCAACGCCGCGUGAGUGAAGAAGGGUUUCGGCUCGUAAAGCUCUGUUGUCGGGGACGAAUGUGCAGUAUUUGAAUAAAGUACUGUAAUGACGGUACCUGACGAGGAAGCCACGGCUAACUACGUGCCAGCAGCCGCGGUAAUACGUAGGUGGCAAGCGUUGUCCGGAAUUAUUGGGCGUAAAGGGAGCGCAGGCGGGAAGGUAAGUCGGUCUUAAAAGUGCGGGGCUCAACCCCGUGAUGGGAUCGAAAAUAUCUUUCUUGAGUGCAGGAGAGGAAAGUGGAAUUCCUAGUGUAGCGGUGAAAUGCGUAGAUAUUAGUAGGAACACCAGUGGCGAAGGCGACUUUCUGGACUGUAACUGACGCUGAGGCUCGAAAGCCAGGGGAGCGAACGGGAUUAGAUACCCUAGUAGUCC